UAGGGAAUAUUGGGCAAUGGGCGAAAGCCUGACCCAGCGACGCCGCGUGAGGGAUGAAGGUCUUCGGAUUGUAAACCUCUUUCAGUAGGGAAGAAGCGAAAGUGACGGUACCUAAAGAAGAAGCACCGGCUAACUAUGUG
rnacentral:rRNA from 1 species